UAAAAAAGAAUAAAAUGGAAGAGGGUGCAGUUUGUAGAAAAUAGGGAUGCAUGAGAAAAAAAAAAGCAAAAGAGUGGGGCUAAAAGGCCCACCGAACAAAAAAGAGAAAAUAAAAAAAAAGUAAAAUAAAUAAUGGAAAUGGGGCGCAGAAAGCAAGCCCAAAAGGUGUUUCAAGGCCAGAGGAAAGUGGUUAAAUUCCUUUGG
rnacentral:lncRNA from 1 species